UACGGAGGGUGCAAGCGUUGUCCGGAUUUAUUGGGUUUAAAGGGUGCGUAGGCGGCUAUUUAAGUCAGUGGUGAAAGACUCCGGCUCAACCGGAGCAGUGCCAUUGAUACUGGGUAGCUUGAGUGUUGGAGGGGUACAUGGAAUUGAUGGUGUAGCGGUGAAAUGCAUAGAUACCAUCAGGAACACCGAUAGCGAAGGCAUUGUACUGGCCAACAACUGACGCUGAGGCACGAAAGCAUGGGGAGCGAACAGG
rnacentral:rRNA from 1 species